rnacentral:rRNA from 1 species
GAUUGACGGGGAUCACUAGUGAAUUCGCGGCCGCCUGCAGGUCGACCAUAUGGGAGAGCUCCCAACGCGUUGGAUGCAUAGCUUGAGUAUUCUAUAGUGUCACCUAAAUAGCUUGGCGUAAUCAUGGUCAUAGCUGUUUCCUGACCGGUUCAGGGAGGAAAGCGAUACCGUGGGUAUCGCGCUCUUGGAUGGGCUCAUGUCCUAUCAGCUUGUUGGUGAGAUAACAGCUCACCAAGGCUUCGACGGGUAGCUGGUCUGAGAGGACGAUCAGCCACACUGGCACUGCGACACGGGCCAGACUCCUACGGGAGGCAGCAGUAAGGAAUAUUGCGCAAUGGGCGAAAGCCUGACGCAGCGACGCCGCGUGGGGGAUGAAGGUCUUCGGAUUGUAAACCCCUUUCGGGAGGGAAGAUGGAAUGGGGUAACCCAUUUGGACGGUACCUCCAGAAGCAGCCACGGCUAACUUCGUGCCAGCAGCCGCGGUAAUACGAAGGUGGCAAGCGUUAUUCGGAUUUACUGGGCGUACAGGGAGCGUAGGCGGUUCGGUAAGCCCUUUGUGAAAUCUUCAGGCUUAACCUGGAAAAGUCGGAGGGGACUGCCGGGCUAGAGGACGGGAGAGGAGCGCGGAAUUCCCGGUGUAGCGGUGAAAUGCGUAGAGAUCGGGAGGAAGGCCGGUGGCGAAGGCGGCGCUCUGGAACGUUUCUGACGCUGAGGCUCGAAAGCGUGGGGAGCAAACAGGAUUAGAUACCCUGGUAGUCCACGCCUUAAACUAUGAAUACUAAGUGUCGGCGGGUUACCGCCGGUGCCGCACCUAACGCAUUUAAGUAUUCCGCCUGGGAAGUACGGUCGCAAGGUUGA